GUAAACGGCGGCCGUAACUAUAACGGUCCUAAGGUAGCGAAAUUCCUUGUCGGGUAAGUUCCGACCUGCACGAAUGGCGUAAUGAUGGCCAGGCUGUCUCCACCCGAGACUCAGUGAAAUUGAACUCGCUGUGAAGAUGCAGUGUACCCGCGGCAAGACGGAAAGACCCCGUGAACCUUUACUAUAGCUUGACACUGAACAUUGAGCCUUGAUGUGUAGGAUAGGUGGGAGGCUUUGAAGUGUGGACGCCAGUCUGCAUGGAGCCGACCUUGAAAUACCACCCUUUAAUGUUUGAUGUUCUAACGUUGGCCCGUAAUCCGGGUUGCGGACAGUGUCUGGUGGGUAGUUUGACUGGGGCGGUCUCCUCCUAAAGAGUAACGGAGGAGCACGAAGGUUGGCUAAUCCUGGUCGGACAUCAGGAGGUUAGUGCAAUGGCAUAAGCCAGCUUGACUGCGAGCGUGACGGCGCGAGCAGGUGCGAAAGCAGGUCAUAGUGAUCCGGUGGUUCUGAAUGGAAGGGCCAUCGCUCAACGGAUAAAAGGUACUCCGGGGAUAACAGGCUGAUACCGCCCAAGAGUUCAUAUCGACGGCGGUGUUUGGCACCUCGAUGUCGGCUCAUCACAUCCUGGGGCUGAAGUAGGUCCCAAGGGUAUGGCUGUUCGCCAUUUAAAGUGGUACGCGAGCUGGGUUUAGAACGUCGUGAGACAGUUCGGUCCCUAUCUGCCGUGGGCGCUGGAGAACUGAGGGGGGCUGCUCCUAGUACGAGAGGACCGGAGUGGACGCAUCACUGGUGUUCGGGUUGUCAUGCCAAUGGCACUGCCCGGUAGCUAAAUGCGGAAGAGAUAAGUGCUGAAAGCAUCUAAGCACGAAACUUGCCCCGAGAUGAGUUCUCCCUGACUCCUUGAGAGUCCUGAAGGAACGUUGAAGACGACGACGUUGAUAGGCCGGGUGUGUAAGCGCAGCGAUGCGUUGAGCUAAGCGGUACUAAUGAACCGUGAGGCUUAACCUU
rnacentral:rRNA from 1 species